rnacentral:rRNA from 1 species
GGAAUCUUCCACAAUGGACGAAAGUCUGAUGGAGCAACGCCGCGUGAGUGAAGAAGGUUUUCGGAUCGUAAAGCUCCGUUGUUGGUGAAGAAGGAUAGAGGUAGUAACUGGCCUUUAUUUGACGGUAAUCAACCAGAAAGUCACGGCUAACUACGUGCCAGCAGCCGCGGUAAUACGUAGGUGGCAAGCGUUGUCCGGAUUUAUUGGGCGUAAAGCGAGCGCAGGCGGAAGAAUAAGUCUGAUGUGAAAGCCCUCGGCUUAACCGAGGAACUGCAUCGGAAACUGUUUUUCUUGAGUGCAGAAGAGGAGAGUGGAACUCCAUGUGUAGCGGUGGAAUGCGUAGAUAUAUGGAAGAACACCAGUGGCGAAGGCGGCUCUCUGGUCUGCAACUGACGCUGAGGCUCGAAAGCAUGGGUAGCGAACA